rnacentral:rRNA from 1 species
UACAGGGGGUGCAAACGUUGCUCGGAAUCAUUGGGCGUAAAGCGCACGUAGGCGGUUCGUUAUGUCGGAUGUGAAAGCCCUUGGCUUAACCGAGGAAGUGCAUCCGAAACUGGCGAGCUAGAGUACUAAAGAGGAUCGCGGAAUUCCCGGUGUAGAGGUGAAAUUCGUAGAUAUCGGGAGGAACACCGGUGGCGAAGGCGGCGAUCUGGGUCGAUACUGACGCUGAGGUGCGAAAGCGUGGGGAGCAAACAGGG